GGUGGGGGGAGGGGUCCCCUCAGCUUGGAUUGUGAGAGGGCACAGGCCAAGCCAAGGGACCCCACUGGUGCAUG
rnacentral:pre_miRNA from 1 species